UUUCUUUUUGUUUAACAUAUUUCCCUUUUUGAAACCCUAACGCUUUGGCUCCUCGACACUCUUCGGCCGGGGGGAUUAGUCUCGAGCUUCAAUGGAACUACCUCAAUGUCACUGAAGGUGUUUCUCCUCUAUGAUAUUAAACAUCACAUGUCAAUUGGUUUACUCAUCCACCAAGAAUCAUGAUUUUGAGCUGAUUCUUUGAUUAAUGGGGUCUUCUCUUCUGAUGGAAGUAGCAGGCUUGCUAGCAGCGCCCAUUUUAAUAGAAGGUGUUUCCCCUUUGUGAUAUUAAACAUCACAGGUCAAUUGGUUUACUCAUGCACUAAGAAUCAUGAUUUUUAGCUGAUUCUUUAUCUAAUCUUGUCUUAUCUUCUGAUGGAGGCAGCAGUCUUGCUCACAGCGCCGAUGAUAAUACUCUCUCUCUCUCUCUCUCUCUCUCUCUCUCUCUCUCUCUCUCUCUCUCC